rnacentral:rRNA from 1 species
GCGUGAGUGAAGAAGGCCUCGGUUGUAAGACUCUUUCGGUCCGGGGAAGAAAUACGCGCAGGCUAAUAUCCUGUGUGGAUGACGGUACCGGAAUAAGAAGCACCGGCUAACUACGUGCCAGCAGCCGCGGUAAUACGUAGGGUGCGAGCGUUAAUCGGAAUUACUGGGCGUAAAGCGUGCGCAGGCGGUUUUGUAAGACAGGCGUGAAAUCCCCGGGCUCAACCUGGGAACUGCGCUUGUGACUGCAUCACUCGAGUACGGCAGAGGGGGGUGGAAUUCCACGUGUAGCAGUGAAAUGCGUAGAGAUGUGGAGGAACACCGAUGGCGAAGGCAGCCCCCUGGGCCGAUACUGACGCUCAUGCACGAAAGCGUGGGUAGCAAAACAGGAUUAGAUACCCUGGUAGUCCACGCCCUAAACGAUGUCAACUAGGUGUUGGGUGGGUAAAACCAUUUAGUACCGUAGCUAACGCGUGAAGUUGACCGCCUGGGGAGUACGGCCGCAAGGUUAAAACUC